rnacentral:rRNA from 1 species
UACAGAGACUGCAAGCGUUAUUCGGAUUCACUGGGCGUAAAGGGCGCGUAGGCGGCUUUGCAAGUGACGGGUGAAAGCCCUCGGCUUAACCGAGGAACUGCCUGUCAGACUGUAAGGCUUGAGACCGGGAGAGGUGAGUGGAAUUCCCAGUGUAGCGGUGAAAUGCGUAGAUAUUGGGAGGAACACCAGUGGCGAAGGCGGCUCACUGGACCGGAACUGACGCUGAGGCGCGAAAGCGUGGGGAGCAAACAGG